rnacentral:rRNA from 1 species
CCUACGGGAGGCUGCAGUGGGGAAUAUUGGACAAUGGGCGAAAGCCUGAUCCAGCCAUGCCGCGUGUGUGAAGAAGGCCUUCGGGUUGUAAAGCACUUUCAGUGGGGAAGAAAGCCUUGGGGCUAAUACCCUCGAGGAAGGACAUCACCCACAGAAGAAGCACCGGCUAACUCCGUGCCAGCAGCCGCGGUAAUACGGAGGGUGCGAGCGUUAAUCGGAAUUACUGGGCGUAAAGCGCGCGUAGGCGGUCUGAUAAGCCGGUUGUGAAAGCCCCGGGCUCAACCUGGGAACGGCAUCCGGAACUGUCAGGCUAGAGUGCAGGAGAGGAAGGUAGAAUUCCCGGUGUAGCGGUGAAAUGCGUAGAGAUCGGGAGGAAUACCAGUGGCGAAGGCGGCCUUCUGGACUGACACUGACGCUGAGGUGCGAAAGCGUGGGUAGCAAACAGGAUUAGAUACUCUGGUAGUC